UGGGGAAUAUUGGACAAUGGGCGAAAGCCUGAUCCAGCCAUGCCGCGUGUGUGAAGAAGGUCUUCGGAUUGUAAAGCACUUUAAGUUGGGAGGAAGGGCAUUAACCUAAUACGUUAGUGUUUUGACGUUACCGACAGAAUAAGCACCGGCUAACUCUGUGCCAGCAGCCGCGGUAAUACAGAGGGUGCAAGCGUUAAACGGAAUUACUGGGCGUAAAGCGCGCGUAGGUGGUUUGUUAAGUUGGAUGUGAAAUCCCCGGGCUCAACCUGGGAACUGCAUUCAAAACUGACUGACUAGAGUAUGGUAGAGGGUGGUGGAAUUUCCUGUGUAGCGGUGAAAUGCGUAGAUAUAGGAAGGAACACCAGUGGCGAAGGCGACCACCUGGACUAAUACUGACACUGAGGUGCGAAAGCGUGGGGAGCAAACA
rnacentral:rRNA from 1 species